rnacentral:rRNA from 1 species
UACGUAGGGUGCAAGCGUUGUCCGGAAUUAUUGGGCGUAAAGAGCUCGUAGGCGGUUUGUCGCGUCGACUGUGAAAACCCGAGGCUUAACCUCGGGCCUGCAGUCGAUACGGGCAGACUAGAGUUCGGUAGGGGAGACUGGAAUUCCUGGUGUAGCGGUGAAAUGCGCAGAUAUCAGGAGGAACACCGAUGGCGAAGGCAGGUCUCUGGGCCAUAACUGACGCUGAGAAGCGAAAGCAUGGGGAGCGAACAGG